AGAGUUUGAUCAUGGCUCAGGAUGAACGCUAGCGGCAGGCCUAAUACAUGCAAGUCGAACGCUCAGUAGCAAUACUGGGAGUGGCGCACGUGUGCGUAACGCGUACACAAUCUACCUCUAAGCGGGGGACACCUCCUGGAAACGGGGAUUAAUACCGCAUAAUAUGCCGAGGUCGCAUGACUUUGGUAUUAAAGCAGCAAUGCACUUAGAGAUGAGUGUGCGUCCCAUUAGGUAGUUGGUGAGGUAACGGCUCACCAAGCCUAUGAUGGGUAGCCGGUCUGAGAGGAUGGUCGGCCACACGGGCACUGAGACACGGGCCCGACUCCUACGGGAGGCAGCAGUAAGGAAUAUUGGUCAAUGGUGGAAACACUGAACCAGCCAUGCCGCGUGGAGGAAUAAGGUCCUACGGAUUGUAAACUCCUUUUGACGAGGAAGAAAGUGUUAGAUUUAUCUAAUUUUGACGGUACUCGUAGAAUAAGCACCGGCUAACUCCGUG
rnacentral:rRNA from 1 species